rnacentral:rRNA from 1 species
GGGAAUCUUGCGCAAUGGGCGAAAGCCUGACGCAGCCAUGCCGCGUGAAUGAUGAAGGUCUUAGGAUUGUAAAAUUCUUUCAGCGGGGAAGAUAAUGACUGUACCCGCAGAAGAAGCUCCGGCUAACUUCGUGCCAGCAGCCGCGGUAAUACGAAGGGGGCUAGCGUUGCUCGGAAUUACUGGGCGUAAAGGGCGCGUAGGCGGGUGUUUAAGUCAGAGGUUAAAUCCCAGGGCUCAACCCUGGAACUGCCUUUGAUACUGGGCACCUAGAGUUCGGGAGAGGUGUGUGGAACUCCGAGUGUAGAGGUGAAAUUCGUAGAUAUUCGGAAGAACACCAGUGGCGAAGGCGACACACUGGCCCGAUACUGACGCUGAGGCGCGAAAGCGUGGGGAGCAAA